UCCUGAAGGGAAGGGUAAGUCAACAACAAAACAGUCGUCUUUUCCAGCAGCCAUUGUACAGCACAGACAGCAGUAAGACCAGCGGACCAACUGUGCUGGAGACCUGCUUUGGUUGCUAUUGUGACAAGGUCUUCUUUGCUAAGGUUGCAAGGCUGCAUUUUCAUGGAGAGCCUCACUGAGUAUGAAUCCCGGAAACUAUGAGCUGAAUUUGAAUUAAACUAACAGUUUGACCUGCGUGCCAUUUAAAGGUUUAUUCCUUUUAAUGAGAUUUGUUAUGCUGAUUCUUCAUCCACACCACAUACCGUUAAACUGAAGUCAUCCGAACUCGAGCAAAUCAGGCCUGGAUCUGAACUGAGACACCGUAAUGAGCCCCAGUUUGUGGCCUCCGCUGCAGGAGAGCUCCACGCCUCGCCACUAACCUGCCGUGUGCUAAUGACUGUACAGAUCACGCUGUACUGCCACCUCCUACAUAUAUACACAAGCACACAUAUGGACACGUGAACACCAAUAUGUAGACAUGCACUGCUGUCGUUAUGUGUUCCUACACCGUACUAAUGGCCAAUUAUUCUAGAUUUCUGUCCAUUGGUAAAUCUAACGAGCGUGUUUGCUGAAUAUACCAAACUAACUUUAUCCUGUGGUAGAAGUUUCUUCUCAAAGAGGUUUUUACCACUCAUAUGCCUUGUCAGUCGGCAUAACAGACUGAGACUGGAUUUGAGAUUCAAGGAGAGAUGCCAGAAACCAGUUGGUGUUAAAGCCAAAAACCAGAAUGGAACAACAAGAACCUGAAGUACAACAAGAAGAUCACUCCCUAAAGCCCCUUCUACAUUGUCAAGCCUCACUCAAUCAGCCUCACUCAGUCAAAACCCUUGCGGCUUUGCCUGACUUGUA